GGCUCUGUAGUGUAGUGGUUAGCACGACUGCUUUACACACAGAAGGUCCUGGGUUCAUGCCCCAGGUGGAGCCA
rfam:Pteropus alecto contig100094, whole genome shotgun sequence.